rnacentral:rRNA from 1 species
AUUGAACGCUGGCGGCAGGCUUAACACAUGCAAGUCGAGCGGAGUUUUGGUGCUUGCACCAAGACUUAGCGGCGGACGGGUGAGUAAUGCUUAGGAAUCUGCCUAUUAGUGGGGGACAACGUUUCGAAAGGAACGCUAAUACCGCAUACGUCCUACGGGAGAAAGCAGGGGAUCUUCGGACCUUGCGCUCAUAGAUGAGCCUAAGUCGGAUUAGCUAGUUGGUGGGGUAAAGGCCUACCAAGGCGACGAUCUGUAGCGGGUCUGAGAGGAUGAGCCGCCACACUGGGACUGGGACACGGCCCAGACUCCUACGGGAGGCAGCAGUGGGGAAUAUUGGACAAUGGGCGGAAGCCUGAUCCAGCCAUGCCGCGUGUGUGAAGAAGGCCUUUUGGUUGUAAAGCACUUUAAGCGAGGAGGAGGAGCUCUAGGCUAAUACCCUAGAAGCUUGGACGUUACUCGCAGAAUAAGCACCGGCUAACUCUGUGCCAGCCGCCGCGGUAAUAC